AAACAAAAAAAAAAAAAAGGAAAAGGGAGAUGAAAGUGAAAGGAAACUAAGGAGGGGAAAAAGAGAAACUCGAUGCUUCACAUAUUUCAAUACAUUGUGUCAUGACUAAAACAACCAUCAACCUAAACCAGUAUCAUCCAUCAACGAAACAGGAAAAAUCACAGCUUUAUUAGCAAGAAACAGCACUAAAGAAAGCUUGUGCGCAAGAUUUCAUAAAAAGCAUAAAAAUAACUUGUCGAAAAUGUUUUCCAUUUAAAUUUUUUAUAAGAAAAUAUUUUCCAUCAAAAUAUUAAAAAUAUAAGGUUCCAAUAUAUCCAAACAGAAUCAAUACAAAAAAAA
rnacentral:misc_RNA from 1 species